GACAGGGGGCUCGAGCGUUAAUCGGAAUCAUUGGGCUUAAAGGGUGCGUAGGCGGGUUGCUAAGUGUUCUGUGAAAUCCCCCGGCUCAACCGGGGAAUCGCAGGGCAUACUGGCAGCCUUGAGGCAUGUAGGGGCGGACGGAACUGUAGGUGGAGCGGUGAAAUGCGUAGAUAUCUACAGGAACGCCGAUGGUGAAGACGGU
rnacentral:rRNA from 1 species